AGAAGUCACUUGGAUGUCACUUGGAUGAGUGACGAAACGUUUCUCCCACAAAACGCUACGUCCAGAUGAACAGAUUCAACUUUUGGAGAUAACAGUGAAGUUAUAAUAGUUUUAAUUUAUUUACAAGCUCAGUUUACAGAUCAGUGACAGAUACAUGGCUUCAGAGCGUGCUGUGUGACGCGUUCACGCACCAACACACAUUAAUACGGAUGUAUUUAUGUAUAUUUAUCAGACACACGUCUGUAUGUCGGUGUGUCAAACACAUCACAUCUGUACGGGCAGAUGUUGUUUUUAUAUGAAUGUUUUUACAUUUUUGUUACAAAUAAGAAGCAUUUAGAAAAUCCACAAACGCUCACAUCAGUGAAAAACGUGUUUGUUCUUUUUACGGAAUAAAGUUCAAUCAUUUCAUUCAGAAAUGUCCUCAUAAGGCACGGCACGCUAUUAAUGAUGACUUUUACUUUGGCACAGUUUAGAGUCCUUCCUGUGCACUUCACAAUAAGAGUAAUGCUUUGUUCCUGAAAUGAAAGCUGAAUAAAAUGAUAUGUGAUAAAGUGUCGAUGUCGUCAUGUGAGCGUCAGGUUCCUCUCUCGGUGUUGAGCUGCACGUUUCCGAUUCUCCUCACACUGACGUGUAUUCGUGCCAGCGUGACCUCUGCAGGUCUGAUCGGGUUUGUGACGAGUUGGGCUUCAUGCCGUCGUUCUCGGUGACGCUCGGCUUCACACCAGGCGAGCUGCACCAAUCGCUUCACAGCUGGAGCACAUCUGCAGAUUCAGCCUGGUGAUGGGAGUCUAGCGCUGAUCCGCAGACUCAUUCACACUCUUAUUUUCUUUAAACUGAGGAACACGACUCGGUUUAGAAGCUCUUUGGUCAAACUAUUAAAGAGUGAACUCCAGAAGCAAAACAAAAGUGGUUUAAAUGUGACGCAGUUUAAAUAUCCAGGCAUCACAGAAAUAUGGAGGCACUUCAUGUUGAUUUGUUGAAACUGACUGUGUCAGAACAAAAUAUCUGAAAGUUUUCCUCAGCUGUUUUUAAGAAACUGUCUUUUACUUUGAAGUUGUUUUAGCAAUUUCAAAAUAAAAGACUUCUUAAACGUAUUUAUCGGUAGUAUUAAUUUAGAAACUUUGAUGAGUGUUGGUGCAGCUCACCCUAAACUGUGUCACGUGACACGUGAUGUGCUGUGAUGUCACAGUCUGUAUUUAUUUUUGUUGUUUACUUUGUUUCUGAUGUAAACGCAUUGUACAGAUGAUGAUGAUGAUGAUGAAGGUCUCACCUGUAAGCUGACUGACUGCGGCUUGCUAGAAGAAGAGAAAGUUUUAUUUUUGUGUUCACAUUUUACUUCCUGUAUCAUAAACACUAAAACUAAAACUGUAGAAGUUUCCCUCCGUCUGUGCAUCGUUGACCUUUGACCUCCAGCUCGGUUGGUGUUUGGUUGUUUUUUGACACAUGUAGCCGCUCGACUCGAGUCGAGUUUCAGCGAUUCCACUGCAGACAUUUUACUCUAAACCACUUCCUGUGUCAGACAGGAAGUGGGGUGUUGCUGUAGAGCUUGGUGUGUGAUUUGUUUCAGAUUUUAGCGGCGCCGUGUCAUCACGUGAACACUUUUGAAUCCGUGUUUGUGUAACUGAGCUUAACCUGCCCGUCGUCUCUGCCGACGACACUUUCAGUAAUAAACUAAUAUUUAUUUGAAACGCAUCCGAGUUUUUCUACCUGUGACAUCAUUCGUGGCGGUCCUGUGAAAACCACGUAUCUCCACUGUGACCAUGAUGUGUGAAUAUUUUUAACUAGACCGAGACGAGCGCAGUCGGAGCCGGCGUCUGUGGGAUGGUUGUACUUUUAUCUCUGCAGGUGCAGCUGAGUCGGACUCCGAUGGUCCAGCCUCAGCCGGUUUAAUGCGAGCGGUUCUUAAACACAGCCAGAAGUAAGCGGACAGUUGGGUGAGCGGCUUCCUGGUCUGAUCCCUCGUUAGACCAGGAGACGUGAGGCAGGCCGUCAUUAGGCUGCACCACCAGAAUAAACCAAUCAGAGAGCAGAAACUGGGAGUGUCCAAACCAGCUGCUCACUGUUAAAAAGAAUAAACACAUAAAGUCAUGAAAGACGAUGACAGAAUGAUUCACCACAUCGAGCCGAGUCAGGAGCACCGAAGGUCGACAGCCAGGACACGCCGUCACGGAUGGAAACAACAAGGUGCAAACUCCGAGUGCGCUCAGGAGGGUCGAACUUUAUCACAUCUAACGAAAGUGUACAUGCGUGAAAACACGUUUGACAGGUGAAGCUGGGAGGAAGUUUAACGAUGGAGAGAAAAGAGCGGAAAGCAGAGCAUCCGUCUAACACGGGGGAGGCAGCGUUAUGGCGUGGGCACACAGGGGAGCCGCUCUGGUGUUUCCCGAGGAUGUUAGCGGGGCGUGCUCUCUGGGGGCCGAGCCAAAACAACCCAGGAAGUGCGAUUUUCCCAAAGCUCGUCAGCUGAUCUCAGGCCAGCGGAGCAGCUUCAGCUGCAGUGUGCGGUCCUCAGGACGCCGCUUACCUUCGUGUAAACACAUCUGUGACUGUUCACGCUCAACGACAGGUAAACAUUCCAAUCAAAGCUCAAAGUUUGGUUGCAUUGCGGGGGUUGGGAGUGAUUGGUGGGGAGCAUGACAGGUUAUAGUUGAGAGUGUUUUGGGGUUCUUGAUGGGAGGGGCUUUGUGGUUUGAUAUGGGGCUGUUUUUGAGGCGGUACUCUAAAGUUUUGCUGUGAUUGGCUGCUGAGGGGAGGGUUUGUUGGUAUUUGGGUCAUCUGUUAUUUACUGGUAUAGUUUCAAAAAUAUUUUGGGGGGGUCAGUGGGUUGGGGGGCGGCGUACAGGUGAGUGGUUAUUGAGCCUGCUCAGAGACGAAGACGCCGCUCUGCAUCACUCGGCUGUGUCACUGCACAGCUCUCACUGGAACUGCAGGACAGAGUAAAGCUCAAAGCACCAAAAGGCUGGAGCCACAGAGGAUUGUGGGUACUGUAGUCUUGCAGCUCAACGUUUGUGUCGUAAUGAAGAUGCAUACAGGGGAUUCGAGGGCGGUGAAAGGCAGCAGCUGUGUUCUUCAUCCUGGGGGGGCGUUGGAGGGUAUUUCCUGGGGCAGUUUCUGUGUGUGGCUGCAGCUCGAGGCUCUGCAGCUGUUUUCAGUGUGUGCGGCCUGAUUGUUGACUCUCAGUCUGAAGGUCACGGCGUGAUGCCGCCGGUCAGUGCACUGAAACUCAGCUGACUACCUCCAACCGGCCGCUGUGAUUGGCUGAGCCGGCUGUGUUACACAGACAGAGGAAGAGGCUGCAGGUGUUUGGUCUUCGCCACAGACGUAGAAGGAAAGGAGCAGACAGGAAAAACCAGCAGCUCCGUGCAUGAAAACUCUGACCAGGCCUCGGGCCUCAGACGGGGACUGGUUAGGGACCAGGCCUCGGGCCUCAGACGGGGACCGGGCUGUUAUGUGGAGUAAAAGCGACAGACGCAGCGUGGGGUGGAAGCUGAGCUCCACCUGACCUCUGACCUCUCCAGGACCAUGCCAUCACCUCUCAGCUCAUCUCAGUCUGACCCAUCGGGACUCAAACGUCUCUGUUUGUGGCUCCAUCGCUGCUCCUCCCCUCCUCCUCCUCCUCUCCCCGUCAGCUGCGGCGACCUCUGCCCUCUGUCAGCAUCACGCCGUCUCCCCCUGCUGGUGGCCCUGCUGCUCUGCGGCCUGCUGCUGAUGGUGCUGCUGCUGCUGUGGAACUACCACUGUGUGUUCAUCUCACGCCUCUGCUCCCCCCCGGGGGAGGAGGAGGGGGAUGUGGGGGAGAUGGGCUUGUGACCUCUGACUGUGUCAUUAAUGAUGGUGAUGGUGAUGAUGAUGAUGAUGAUGACGACGGCUCGGGAUGCUUUUCAGUUUUGAUAAAAAUGUAACAAUCAAAAUAAAAAAUCUUAAACGUGCCGAA